rnacentral:rRNA from 1 species
ACACUGGAAAUUUGAUUUCUAGUGAUUGGAAUGAUGGGAAUCCAAACCCCUUUCAGAGUAACAAUUGGAGGGCAAGUCUGGUGCCAGCAGCCGCGGUAAUUCCAGCUCCAAUAGCGUAUAUUAAAGUUGUUGCAGUUAAAAAGCUCGUAGUUGGAUGUCUGUUGGAAGCAAUCAUCAGUCCGCCCUAUUUGAUUAGGGUGUGAAUAUGAUGAAUUCCGGCAUAAUUGUCUCCCUAUUGUUAAUAUUCUGAUUGUUAGAUUCAUUUCUAACAAUAAUACGAUUAUUAAUAAUAAGGGGGAAAUGUUACUUUGAGAAAAUUAGAGUGUUUGAAGCAGGCUUUUGUUGCCUUGAAUACUGCAGCAUGGAAUAACAAUAUAGGAUUUCGGUUCUAUUUUGUUGGUUCUUUUUUUAGGACUGAAAUAAUGAUUAAUAGGGACAGUUGGGGGCAUUCGUAUUUAACUGUCAGAGGUGAAAUUCUUAGAUUUGUUAAAGACGAACUACUGCGAAAGCAUUUGCCAAAGAUGUUUUCAUUAAUCAAGAACGAAAGUUAGGGGCUCGAAGACGAUCAGAUACCGUCGUAGUCUUAACCAUAAACUAUGCCGACUAGAGAUAGGAAAUUGUCAUUUUACUUGACUU